CCAGAAAGUACUGACAUACCCAAAGGGCUGCUGCUAAUGCUCGCCUGUCACUACCGAGGGGGGAAGCUUCUGGUUCCUACCUUACCAACACUGAAAGGUAGUUCUGCAAACCAACCGUCCCGUAGAAGCCCUUGAAUAUUUCAUCCCACUACUUUCCAGCCUCCAUGGUUUCUGAUGAUGAAUCAGCUGUUAAUCUUACUGACAAUAUCUCGUACACACGUUGGUUUGUAAAACUUGCACAGCUUCCAAAGGAGGGGAAGAGAGUUGCUUUACAAUUACAACCAUUUGAAAAAACAGAGCACCUGUCUUCCAGAGGUAUUUGACAUCCUAUCAAUGAUGUGGAAGCACAAAUAUCAGUUCUUCUUUACAAAUAGGAAGUGGGAGAAUCUGAAUCACCACGGCACAAAGUCAUUUUUCUCACAUGACUAUUUGACAAGCGUACAGAUGAAAAACAAACCCAAGCCUGGCCCCUCUUGGUCUAUUCCUCAGCCAGAGAAAGUUUCAAAGCCCAACAGUGUUCUCAUUAUAACAUGGAACCACUAGAUGUCACUAAAGAUAAAAAUUUGAAGGUAUUAGCGCUUAUAAAUAGGAAGCAGAAAAGGAGAGUGAAAUUCACCAUGUUGAUGGAAAGAACUGAAAUUUCCACCUUUAGGUCACACAAUGGAAAGUGACCUCCCUCCAGCCCAAUACCCCCCAAAAAUGGUUUCAGACCCUGUAUGCCAUAUCUGUAUAGUAUGGACCCAUUUGGGUUGACAUCAGGUUUCAACAGAAAAAUAACAA